UACGGAGGAUGCAAGCGUUAUCCGGAUUCAUUGGGUUUAAAGGGUGCGCAGGCGGGGAUGUAAGUCAGUGGUGAAAAGCUGCCGCUUAACGGUAGUCUUGCCAAUGAUACUACAUUUCUUGAGUAUGGUUAAGGUAGGCGGAAUGUGCAGUGUAGCGGUGAAAUGCAUAGAGAUUACACAGAACACCGAUUGCGAAGGCAGCUCACAAAUCUACUUCUGACGUUGAGGCACGAAAGCGUGGGUAGCAAACAGGAUUA
rnacentral:rRNA from 1 species